UACGUAGGGUGCGAGCGUUGUCCGGAAUUAUUGGGCGUAAAGAGCUCGUAGGCGGUUCGUCGCGUCGAAUGUGAAAACCCGGGGCUCAACUCCGGGCCUGCAUUCGAUACGGGCGGACUAGAGUUCGGCAGGGGAGACUGGAAUUCCUGGUGUAGCGGUGAAAUGCGCAGAUAUCAGGAGGAACACCGGUGGCGAAGGCGGUUCUCUGGGCAUUACCUGACGCUGAGGAGCGAAAGUGUGGGGAGCGAACAGG
rnacentral:rRNA from 1 species